rnacentral:other from 1 species
ACUUCCUAAGCCGGAACGAAAAGUCUCUUUGUAGCGAUACACUGAAACUUUUGGCUUUGUGGUUGUGAUGUUGUGUUUGCAAGUUGUCUGGAAAACCAGACUUUGUAGCUUAAGCUACUGUUUUUUUUCACUUCCUGUACAUUUACCCUGUCUGUCCAUAGUGAUUUUUUUAUGCACCGCAAUUGCGGUGCUUUUUUUC